CCCUACUGGUUUCGUUAAAUUUUCCCCCAAACCCCAUCCCUGUUCCACAAUGUUCCCUUGCUUUGUGUUCGUGGAACGUCUUCCCCUACUUGGACUGAGCGUCGAGGUUGAGGCAUCGAGGACUCUGCUAAAGGGUACCCUCAAACUCCUCAAUCUUAUCUCUUCAAUCUUCAUGUUGUUUUGGUAUGCAAUACCUCAAAUCUACACACGAUAUCGGUUGGGGGAAGGACGGUAGCCAUCCAUUUCUCCAUGCUCCUAAGGUUGAGUCGGUUAAGUCUGAAUGACUGUCUUCUGGAUAAAUGAAAGGUCACAAAUAAAGGUUGGAAACCAUGCCUAUGCAUCAUAGGAGGCUUGCCAAGCUAAAGAGAGCAAAGGAGGCAAAGAAGGGAAGAAUUUAGGCUUUUUCCGGAUUAGAACCAUUACAUUCCGGAUUGGAAAUGAAUAGGAAAAUGGCUUCCAAAAUGAAGACUUAGCCCAGCCACCUACUGCUCACGCCCAGCCAAAAUGCACCAGAAUUCAGCUUUUGAAAAAUGCAGUUUUUAAUGUUUUUGGAAUGGAACUUGCAGCCCAAGCUGAGUAGCGUCUUAGAUACUCUUCUUUAGUGAUCUUAGAAGCUUACAAAGUCAAACUUAGGCUCUCUCUUCACCUAUAAAAGAGAGGUGAAUCUCCAUGUAAAAUCUAACUUGAAAGAUAUAUUGAAGUGUUGUUGAGAUUACUCCAAACCUCUAUACUUCGAGUUCACCUUCUAGUGCCAAUUUCGCACUUCUUCCUCUAGCUUCCUUCCCCUUUGGAAGGCCUUCUGAGCUUGAGAAACCUCACACACUCACCAAACCUCCAUUGAACGAUUCAUCAAACACAUGGCGUGCACCAGAAACAUCCUUCACUCCUCCAUUCCACUGUGUCCAUUUUGAGUUUGGGAGAGCUCUCACUUGAAGUGUGGAACCGCUUCCAUCAUUUGGCAUCAAGAGCCAACACGUCCACGCUUGUCUACAAGAGCUAAGUCAAGUUUUCCCUUAGUUCUUCAAUUUUGUCAUGUGUAGUUUGUAUGUUCACUGUUUCAUCAUUUUUUACAUUUUUGAUUUGAUUGAAUUCGUGUUUUUUGUUGUUCUACUUGUGCCUUGAGUGUUCCAUAGUAUGUUUUCAUCAUUUUAAUCGGUGCAAUUCUUUUAUUUGAGUUCAAUUCAAGCUUUACUUUUCAUUCCAGUUAUGUCAUGGUCUUGUGCAAAAAAUAAAUGUUGUAGUUCUUAAUCUGUCAUCAAGUAUUGAAUUUGUUCAGCAUUGAAUUUUUUUUCGUUUUAAUGAACUUCAUUGCAGUGAUAGCUAUCCAUGGAUCAUAUAAAGCAAUGAGACAUUGUCUAGCUUUGAUCACAUGAGCUAAAGCAUUGAAAAAAAAAUGGAUACUGUUUCUCAAAAAUCUGCAUCAAAAGUCGAUUUUGGUUUGAUCUUGAGAAAUCUGUUUCUGUCCAGUUUUAUUGUUUCUAAACCUUGAGACAAGUUUCUUUAAUAAUAUUACACAUGUCUCAAGUAAUGGCAACUCAAAUUAAUCAUUGAAUUGCAAAAGGUAUGGUUAAGUUGAUUUAAAAUCUGGUGUUCAAGUUUUUCACUAUUUCCAUUUGAAGUUUUUCAUCGUGCUUGAUGUCCUUGUUGGAGUUUAGGUCAUUUAAAAUCUACUAGCUCAAAUUCUAUAGCUAGAUCUAGUCAUUUAGGACUUCCUUAUGCCUUGGAUUGUGCCGCCCAGCUUUGCUUCUGUUGUUCUAUUAAAUCUGGUCCAAUUUUGAUUAAAGUGCUGCAUAAUUGGCUACAGCUAUAUGAAUUGUUGAAUCUGGUCAUUUCUGCGCAUUGUAAACGUUUGAACAAGUUUAUUUGGUCAUUUCAAAGUUGUGUGCACUUUUAAAAUGGUCAUUUUUAGGCCUAUAUGCACGCACAAUCAUCUCUUAAACCAUCAAAAUUGCCUUUAAAAUGGAAGUGCACCAGUGAAUUCACAUUACAAUCUGUUUUCCUAUUGUUUCAAUGUUUAAACAUCUUUAAAAUGAUGAUACAAAGUUGUUUGAUGCAUCAAUUGAGCUGUUGAAUCACUUCCAAUCAAUUUUGGAUUUGAAACCACCAUUUUCAAUGUCAUUUUUGGUGUAGUGAGCAUUUUAAGUGUUGUUUGACAAUUUCAAAUCUUUAAUCUUCAUUUCUAGAUUGGCAAAAGCUGGUUUAGUGUUUCCAAAUAUAAUUACAAGAUCAAUGCACUGUAAUACAAUCAUAAAAAGCAAAAGAAAACCAAGCAAUCCAGUUUUGAACCCCAAAAAUCAAAAAUCACAAAAUCUGCACUUCUUUGGGGACUUUCAUCAAACAGUUGCGUUUUUAUCAAACACCUUACUGCAUUACUUUUGGCUCUUCUUUUUUUAUUUUUCUUGCUUGUUUAAUCUGAUUUAGUGCCUCUCCUAGGUUUUUUUUGUGUCCCUUCAUUGAUUCAAAACUUAAAAAUACUUGAAAUCAACUUGUUUGACCUCCAAUUUGUGCCACCCAUCCUGGUUUGUGAAUUUGAAUUCUGGUGCAGUGCAUAUUUUUGCUAUGAUUGGUUUAGUGCGUGGUAGGGUGCUGUGACAUUUUGGUGAGGCUUCCAAGGUCCAGAGUCCUUGCCUCAAGGAGGUAGCAUACUAGGAAGUGGAAGGGUUGCUGAAUUGGACAAGGAGGUAGCUCUAAAAGUAGUAAUUUGGCUUCAAUUUCCAAUAGCAUUUCACCAACUUGGCACCACUUUUUCCAUCCAAUUUUGGCCAGCAACGUUGCAGAAUUUUUACAGUAGCAGUCUAGCUUUUACAAUAGCUUCAUUUGUAACCUGUUAAGCAUAGCUUCAAGAGUUUUUCUAGCUUUGUAUCACGGAACCUUUGUGGUUUACUUGGCUUUUCAUUUUGCAACUCAAAGUGGCUUGGAAAAAUGCUUUUUAAGCAAUUUCAAGUGCACAAUUAAACAUUGUAAUAGCUUAGUUUCCAUUUCUUAGUGUGAAGGUGUG